ACUCUUGCCGAGCUUGUCCUUCUUGCUGCUGUGCUUCCCGCGCAAGCCGAGCAGGCCGUGGCGCUGCUUGCCGCCGUCGAAGCAGCAGCAAGACCGGUGUAUGACUUUUCUGGCCGAUUGCUCAUGAUAUGUUCAUACUUCUUUAUUCUAAUUCCAAUGUUAAUAAUUCUCUAACCAAUUAUGCAACCUUUAUUUUUUAUUUCUUUUAGAAAAAAGACAAGCUAGCAACCUUUCUUUUACUAAUCCAAUGAUGCCUGUUUUCAUGGAAAACAAUCAAAUGAGUGACCCACGCCGCAACUUCUACAAACUAGCAAGCUACACCCUGUUCCUAUUCUGCAUUAUUAUGCCGUGGACUAAAAGACAAGAUCAUAUAGAGUGGAAUACAAAAGACAAACUACCUGGAUUAAUGUAGUGAGUGAACUAUACGGUAGAAUUAAAGCUUGGAAUAGGGGUGGAGUAUAAGUUAGUGUGGGUUUGGUGCACACAUGGUGCACAUGCACACACACAUUUUAAGUUUUAGAAUCAUAAAUAAACCAUGAGCAUACAUAUUCUUACUACUAUCAGUUUCAAAGAAAUUCCAGAGUCCAACUUGCUAGUUUGAUAUUGCGAUGAGGAGGUAAAGUGCCGAAAUUGAAUCAAUUAGAGGAAUGAGCCUGGAACAUGUUAGUGUGAUAUUGAGAAUGUUGAGGUCUAUUGCCUGUUAGAAAAUAAUGCAUAAUCCAACUCUCUUUCACUCCCGAAAUAUGCAAUUUUCUAAGUCCAUUGUUCAUCUAACUUGUAGGCUGAGCACAUCAUGGAGAUAUCUCCUGUGGCUACCCCUCUAGAAACUGAGGAAGCGCUCUCUAGUGGUUCUCCAUCAGCAAGGACUCAAUUAGUGACUUUCGGAGCAGGCUAACCACGGACACAAUUGAGGCACUUAUUUGCCUCCAAGACUGGCUGCGAGCAGCAACUCCUUCUUCUGAGACGAUUCUGGUUCAAGUUGUGGCACCACCGGUUUACAAAUCUUCAACCAUUGCCAAUCCUGUGAGUGAUGUUACAACAGAUCUCAUAGAAGAUGAUUUUGAAGAGGAUGCUUACUUUGUUUAAGUUGGCAUUUGUUUGAAAUUCACACUAUUCAUGUAUAUAUGAUACGAGCGUCAAAAGCUAGCAAUGGAGCAUUGGUUGCCAUUAGCAUCACAAGGGAACAUGUCGUCAGAGCAUAUUGGUUGCAGCUACCUGUGUAGAUGAAAGAUUCUCUAGUUCUUGGUAUUAAUGUA